rnacentral:rRNA from 1 species
GACGAACGCUGGCGGCGUGCCUAAUACAUGCAAGUAGAACGCUGACUACUUUAGCUUGCUAGAGUAGAAGGAGUUGCGAACGGGUGAGUAACGCGUAGGUAACCUGCCUACUAGCGGGGGAUAACUAUUGGAAACGAUAGCUAAUACCGCAUAACGUCGCAAGACCAAAGAGGGGGACCUUCGGGCCUCUUGCCAUCGGAUGUGCCCAGAUGGGAUUAGCUAGUAGGUGGGGUAGCGGCUCACCUAGGCGACGAUCCCUAGCUGGUCUGAGAGGAUGACCAGCCACACUGGAACUGAGACACGGUCCAG